CAAUCCGCGCCCUUCCCCCCCCACCUCUGCCUAGCCUAAGCCACGCCUUCUUCUCUUGGCUUAUGUGAGUUCAGCCGCUUUUCACAACUUUGAGGAACAAACGUUUGUACAGGAUUCUGCUGAUAGACGAAGAAGAGGAGGAGAAUAAUAAAAGAGAGAUGAAGAAUCGUCUGCUUCAUCCCCCUUCAGUGGGAUCAGUGUGCUUGCGGUGUUGAAUGGAAGGGAUGAUUGUAAAGAUGGAGUCCUGUGUUUACCAGAGGAGGCUGGUGAGGGGAGGACGGCUCAUAAUAAAGACUGGAACCGAGAGAAUGGAAUGCCAUCGAACACAUAUAUCCUCCAGGAGGUUUACACUCCAGCCCUGUUCCUGGAGAGAUAUCCUCCAGGAGGUUUUAACUCCAACCCUGUUCCUGGAGAUAUCCUCCUGUAGGUUUACACUCCAACCCUGUUCCUGGAGAGAUACCCCUCCUGUAGGAUUUAACUCCAACCCUGUUCCUGGAGAGAUAUCCUCCAGGAGGAUUUAACUCCAACCCUGUUCCUGGAGAAACAGAGUAGAGAGCUGGUUGAACUAACUAAACUGGUAGAAACAGUAGAGAGCUGGUUGUAUAGACUGUAAACGGGUCCAAUGUAUUGCAUGCUGGGACAAGCCAUUUAAUAACUGGUGAGGAUGAUGAGGAUGACGAUGUUGUUACAGAUGUACGUAAGCUUCUGUUGUGAUCUUUCUUAUAUUAUGUAUGUUAUACCUGUCAGAUGUCAAUAAACACUUUUCUCCGUCGCUC
rnacentral:lncRNA from 1 species